GCCUGGGUGGCUCAGUCGGUUGGGCAACUGACUUCAGCUCAGGUCAUGAUCUCGAGCAUGGUGAGUUCAAGUCCCAUUUGGGGCU
rnacentral:tRNA from 1 species